UGAGCCCUGCGCGGACAAGAGAAAAAGCAGGGGAAACAGCUGACAGCCAUUGCUCAUUUGCUCCCUCCCCUCCUUUUGCCUCUCUGCCACUGCCUUCUCUGCUCCGCGCGCCUUCUCUCUCUCCUCUUCAUUCAAAACCAAACGGAGUGGGCUGCUCUGCUCUCUGCUUAGCCUUAACUCUGCUUCCUUUCUUUUCUUUGGGAGACACGCAGCCCCACCCCUUGCCUUGCCGGCUUGCUUUGCUCCCUCCCUUCUUCCUCGCUCCCUCCCUCCCCUCAAAGAGCACCACCGGCUACAACACUCUAGCUCCCAACCAAGCGAGCAAUGGACGCGGAUGGGGCCGACCAACCUCCCCCCAGGCCUCCAUGGCCUCCUCGGAAGCACCAGGUGGACGCGGAGGAGAAGGUGCCAGGUCCACGUUGAUCACUCGGAGGAGCCGGGCGCCCGCCGGUGGUGAAGCCCUGCUCGAUCGCGGGGCGAGGGGGGGAGGAGAAGUCGGGAAUGAAGCCGUAUUGGUCCGGGAGCGUAUACAUAGUACUCAUAUUCUUUUGCGUAACGUCAGAAGACAAUUACUACCAUCCAGAUGGUAUACGUUUCAGUUUUCAGGUAGAGGUGUAAUCAGUAACUGGCCAGCUAAGCCUUGCCUAUUCUUUGAAUUUCUAUCUA